ensembl:lncRNA
CUCCAUCAAUUCUCGAAGUGUGCUAAAGGAAAUUAUCCUUGUGGUACGUUACAGAUAAGCAGGAAGGACUGGCAGGAGAUGAAUUGCUCUGAAGCGUAGCUGGGCUUAUCAGAUCCCCUUUGCCACUUCUGAAGUAGCACAGGUCCAUAUUUCCCGUGGUGAGCCAAGGUGUUCCCAGCUGUGUCCUCAGCUGUUACAGCUAGGACCCCAGAGAUAAAGAGCGGGAGCAGAGCUCUCAGAGGAAAGGCAAAGGUGACUUGGCACCUCCAUGUGUUGCUGACUGAAAUGGAGGCAAAACUGCUUAUUAAACAACCAGAAUUUGCAGUUUCCAUCUGCCCCAAGCUGGACUUCGGGCUAGAGGUGUAGCUGCAGGCUGCUGAUCUCCUAAGAAGCACAGGAUUUGGGGUCUGUCUGUGCCACAGUACCAAGAGGUUGUUUAUCUCUUUCUGGGAAGGUUUUAACCCAAGACUUAUAAUCCUGUGCAAUAGUGUCAGCCUCAGAAAACGGAUGCAACAGCUAAGCCACAGUCAUAGACAAGGUAUGAUUGUUGUCUACUAUUUCAUUGGUUUUGGC